GGCCCUUACAUUUUGGCAAAGCGUAAAGGUACUCAUAUUAUAAGUCUUGCUAGAACGGCUCGUUUUUUAUCAGAAGCUUGUGAUUUAGUUUUUGAUGCAGCAAGUCAGGGAAAAAGUUUCUUAAUUGUUGGUACAAAAAAAAGAGCAAUAGAUUUAGUAUCAGCUGCAAUAAGGGCUCGUUGUCAUUAUGUUAAUAAAAAGUGGUUCAAUGGUAUGUUAACGAAUUGGUCAAUUACGAAAACUAGACUUUCUCAAUUUAGAGACUUAAGAGCAGAAGAAAAAAUGGGAAAAUUCCACCAUCUCCCAAAAAGAGAUGUGACAAUCUUGAAGAGAAAAUUAUCUACCUUGCAAAGGUAUCUCGGCGGGAUCAAAUAUAUGACGAGAUUGCCAGACAUUGUGAUCGUCCUUGAUCAGCAAAAAGAGUAUAUAGCUCUUCGGGAAUGUGCCAUUUUGGGGAUUCCUACUAUUUCUUUAGUCGAUACAAAUUGUGACCCGGAUCUCACGAAUAUAUAA
rnacentral:rRNA from 1 species